ACAUAAGCCCUUCCUACUCUUCCCUGGGGAAACAUUACCUCUGUGUUAAGCAACAGAAAUUUAACUAACAGGGAUGUGUGGGUGGUCUUCAGAAAUCAUGCCAGUAAGCUCUUUUUUCACCACAUUUUACUUCCACCAGACAAAGAAGAAGCAACAGAGCUCUGGCCAGCAGACUAUAACAGUCUGCCUUCUGUUAAGACAGCAGGUGCCUUUAGUCACCCUAGGGAAAAUGCUCCCUCCAGGGAUUAUCCCACAGAUGUCACCUCCUGGCCAUCAAUGUGUUUUAGUGUAGCCAUUCACGCUAAGAGCAACCUUGAUACAUUCAUUGGCGCUGCUUUAUUGUUUUCUCAAUCAUGUUUCCUUGACUUGACUCAUCCUGUCCUUUUGAUCAAUAGCAGAUGUCACCCACCAUGAGACAUGUUUUGGACUGAUUUAAAGUGCUUGUUAGUACCAGCUUCUGAAUUGCCUUGCUGAGCUUCUUCUCUUUGAUGUUGUUGGCACUGGCUAAGGUCUUAGGUCGGGAUUUUCAAAGAAACACAACAACUGAAGAACCCAGAACUCAGACAGUUCUCCAGACCCUGUUGAAAGUCAAGAGUGUGAGGCAAGAGUGUAAGAAAUUUACUUUCUUUCAAUUCAGUGAGCACCAAAGUGCUUUGUGGUUUUUGUUUGUUUGUUUGUUUUUCCAGUGGUGCCUUUCAGAAGCUGUGUGCUUAGGCAUAUUUGGAAAUCCUAUUAGAAGCCAUUCAGCAUCUUUAUAUGCCUAAAUUCCUUUAAAACCUGACUCAGCAUACUGUGAUACUCUUCUGUGUGUAGAAGCAGCAGCAUAAAGAGCAGACUGUCAGUGAAUGACUGAUACUGUAUGAAUGCGUGGAAUACAAGCCAAAUCCCAAAAGCAAAAGCUCAUAUGUUACAGCCAUAUAACCCAGCCACUUGUUUCUUCAGCAGUUGUCACAGCAAAGCUGUUAUUUCCUAGUUCAAGAGUCUUUAUCACUUCCUCAUCCCUGAUGAAUACCCUAUGAGGAGGAUUCACAAGGCAAAUCAAAGUGUUAUUCAGAUACUGCAAGAAGUCAAGGAACGAAAAUGCUCCCAGCAGCAGCCUCUGUCUACUUGGACAUGUGGAAUGGAUAGCUGGAGUUCCUCACAUAAUUUAGGUUACAU
ensembl:lncRNA